rnacentral:rRNA from 1 species
AUUGAACGCUGGCGGCAUGCCUUACACAUGNNAGUUCGAACGGCAGCACGGGGGCAACCCUGGUGGCGAGUGGCGAACGGGUGAGUAAUGCAUCGGAACGUGCCCAGUAGUGGGGGAUAACUAGUCGAAAGAUUAGCUAAUACCGCAUACGACCUACGGGUGAAAGCGGGGGACCUUUACCGGCCUCGCGCUAUCGGAGCGGCCGAUGUCUGAUUAGCUAGUUGGCGGGGUAAAAGCCCACCAAGGCGACGAUCAGUAGCUGGUCUGAGAGGACGACCAGCCACACUGGGACUGAGACACGGCCCAGACUCCUACGGGAGGCAGCAGUGGGGAAUUUUGGACAAUGGGCGCAAGCCUGAUCCAGCCAUGCCGCGUGCGGGAAGAAGGCCUUCGGGUUGUAAACCGCUUUUGGCAGGAACGAAACGGCGCGAGCGAAUAUCUCGCGCUAAU